GAUGAACGCUGGCGGCGUGCCUAAUACAUGCAAGUCGAGCGAACGGACGAGAAGCUUGCUUCUCUGAUGUUAGCGGCGGACGGGUGAGUAACACAUGGAUAACCUACCUAUAAGACUGGGAUAACUUCGGGAAACCGUAGCUAAUACCGGAUAAUAUUUUGAACCGCAUGGUUCAAAAGUGAAAGACGGUCUUGCUGUCACUUAUAGAUGGAUCCGCGCUGCAUUAGCUAGUUGGUAAGGUAACGGCUUACCAAGGAAACGAUGCAUAGCCGACCUGAGAGGGUGAUCGGCCACACUGGAACUGAGACACGGUCCAGACUCCUACGGGAGGCAGCAGUAGGGAAUCUUCCGCAAUGGGCGAAAGCCUGACGGAGCAACGCCGCGUGAGUGAUGAAGGUCUUCGGAUCGUAAAACUCUGUUAUUAGGGAAGAACAUAUGUGUAAGUAACUGUGCACAUCUUGACGGUACCUAAUCAGAAAGCCACGGCUAACUACGUG
rnacentral:rRNA from 1 species